rnacentral:lncRNA from 1 species
AGAAGGAUCUCUUAUAUAACUUUCCUUCAUGCAAGACAUAUCGAGAUAUUUGAUAUUUGAUCUUAUGCACCUCCUUUCGAUCAAUUGGCAGAAAUCCAUCUUUCAAAUAGUGGAGAAGAGAAUCGAUCCAUGAGGAUUUAUCAUCCAUCUACAUCACCUCUAUGAGAUCCUCUAUGAUAGGUUUCUUCACUACCUCGAAGUAGGCUUUAGUAGACAG